rnacentral:lncRNA from 1 species
GUUGCUCAAGCUAGCCUGAAACAAUCCUCCUGCCUCAGUGUCCUGAGUCACCAUGCUCACACAUCAUUUUGUUGUGUUAAGAAAACUACAGCACAUCACAAUCACAUCCUGGAGGAAACUACUGGGGAAAUGGAAGCUGUUGAGUCUGCAUGAGGAAGUUCCCACAAAGAUCCUCUUCUGUUGCCAGUUCUGGGGGUCCAGGUGGUUGAGAAUCAGAGCAUUCCAUCUCAUUUCCCUUUGGAGUUGCUGUUGGCCCAGAACCCUUCUACUCUGCACUGGGAGCUGUGGUACAUUGCCCUGGAAGACUCCCCUGCACUGGCAACUGUUGCACAUCAACCCGGAAGCCUGCUCUGUGGUGGGAGCUGUCUCAUGUAGACCUAGAAGCCUCCUCUAUGCCGGGAGUGGUGGUAAGUUGGCCCAGAAGCCUCCUACUCUACACUGGGAGCUGUGGCACAUCAACCUGGAAGUCUUCUCUGCACUGAGAGCUGUAGCAUGUCGACCUGGAACCCUUCUCUGUGCUGGGAGCUGUAGCACAUCGACCCGGAAGCCUCCUCCAUGCUGGGAACACUGGUAUGUUGGCCCAGAAGCCUCCUACUCUGCACUGGGAGCUGUGGCAUGUUGCUCCAGAAGAUUUCUCUGUGCUGGGAGCUGUAGUAUGUUGACCCAGAACCCUCCUCUGCGCUGGGAGCAGUGGUAGGUUGACCCAGAAGCCUCCUACUCUGCACUGGAAGCUGUAGUACAUUGACCUGGAAGCCUCUUCUGCACUGGGAGCUGUAGCAGAGUUUGAUUGAGUUCUAGUAUUUUGUUGUUUAUUUUUUGUCUAGUUGAUCUAUUUGUG